GAAACCAACAGGGAUUGCCUUAGUAACGGCGAGUGAAGCGGCAAAAGCUCAAAUUUGAAAUCUGGCACCUUCGGUGUCCGAGUUGUAAUUUGAAGAAGGUAACUUUGGAGUUGGCUCUUGUCUAUGUUCCUUGGAACAGGACGUCACAGAGGGUGAGAAUCCCGUGCGAUGAGAUGCCCAAUUCUAUGUAAAGUGCUUUCGAAGAGUCGAGUUGUUUGGGAAUGCAGCUCUAAGUGGGUGGUAAAUUCCAUCUAAAGCUAAAUAUUGGCGAGAGACCGAUAGCGAACAAGUACAGUGAUGGAAAGAUGAAAAGAACUUUGAAAAGAGAGUGAAAAAGUACGUGAAAUUGUUGAAAGGGAAGGGCUUGAGAUCAGACUUGGUAUUUUGCGAUCCUUUCCUUCUUGGUUGGGUUCCUCGCAGCUUACUGGGCCAGCAUCGGUUUGGAUGGUAGGAUAAUGACUAAGGAAUGUGGCUCUACUUCGGUGGAGUGUUAUAGCCUUGGUUGAUACUGCCUGUCUAGACCGAGGACUGCGUCUUU
rnacentral:rRNA from 1 species